GUCUGGUUUUGUGACUACAUGUGGUCUUAGCCCUAGUUUGCCUUCUUAUGAGACAGGUGGGGAAAGUCACAGAAUUGCAGAGCAUGCUCAUGGGUGUUGCAGGUUUGCAGGAAAGGAUCCCAAAAGAAAUUCCCCAGGAGCCAGAUAAGGCACUUCCCCACAUCCAGUCAGUCGGAAGACAGCAGUACCUAGACUGUCCCUCAGACACCGGAUCCCAAAGCAGCUGGUGCCACGGUCCAUGGAAAGCCAUUCCCAGCUUCUCAUUCUAGAUGCUCCUUGACAGGUCAAAUCACCUGACAAGGAGCAUUUACCCAUCCAACAGGAAGAAUUUACCUACCCCUCCUCUGGGUCUACCAUCUCCCUCUUCACAAAUGCCCCAUGUGGCAUGAGGCAUUACUGCUGUGUGUCAAAGAGUCCUAGGCACCACUGAACUGUGAGCCCCUGAGGGCAAAGACCGACUCUCUCUACCACAGCCGCCAUGUCUGCCCUCUGUUAGGACUUAGGGCGUGGCUCCGGAAGUGAGACUGCCCGCUUCACGGAGACUUCAUCCUGCUGCAUCUUGGCGGUUCUCCUGUUGCUUAUCAUCCAGGCCUUGCAUCCUCUCAUCAGUAUACAUACAUGGUGCCACGUACUAACCAUGUCGAAUGCCGGCUCCUCAAACACAACCUGUCCACAAGACCACACCAAGUGACUCUCACAGAAAGCACGAUCUUAACAGAGUCUUACUGGAUGUUGGUGAGAUUCUAGUGGCUGGUCUGAGGCGGGCCUUACAGUAUGGUUCUCCGAUCAGGAAUAAAAGUGGGUCCAGAGAUAAUCGUCUAAGAUUGGUGGUGGGUGUAGCAAGUUGAAGAUUUUGCCAACCUUGGGGUGGCAAAACUCCAAGUUUUGGAGUGGGGGGUAAACUCCAAAUUUACUGCUACUUAUUGAAGAGUGAGAGUAGCUUGUUGUUCUUUUACAUGGGUUUUCUUGGAAGUUCCUAGAAUAAAUAAUAAAGGUGUUUAUAACUUUUUUUUCUUCCCGGGCAAGGAUUUCCUGGAAUUGUGAAAUCACGUUGAUGCAGCCAGGAAACUGGGGCAAAUGGGUCUGGUUCUCUAACAUGUAAUUUAUGUCACCUCAUAUUGAAUGUCACGGUGGGCAAUUCCUAUGGGGAUUUCUAUGCCACCCAAAGGACUUUGGGCUUAGGAGGGACAAAGCCUGAAUUCUGGUCCCAACAAUGUUACUCUCUCAUUGCAAGACCUCAGUGAGUCACUGGCCCUCUCUGACCCUCAGUUUUCUCCUCUGUCCAAUGAGCCUUACAGACAAGACUACACUUCAUUCCACCACUUGAUGACUAAGUUUAUUUGCCUAAGGGGGAGGCUUGAGUAGUGACCUGACUUCCCAGCAGAGACAGGAAAGGGGAGGAGUGGGGGUAGGGGGUGGGGGGGGCAUCAGAACAGGAGGGGGUAGAGAGGCAGAAAGGGGCAGGUGUGGAAGGCUCUAGAACAGCAAGGUCACUUUACUCAGGUCUGGGAUUUUUAAAUGUUUUAUCUGGUAGAAAUGCAUACAGCAUUUACAAAUUGGAAAUAACUCUGUAAGCUCAGAUAAGAUUGUCUCAGUAAUAUUGUCGCCAGAAAUGGCUCACCACGGCUUCCUUUCAAUUAACCAUUUAAAUCACAGCCCAUACAAAUCCCAACCCCCGCUGCUUUAUAAUAAAAAAAAGGAAAGUUAAACUAGAGCUGAAGAGUUCUGAUUCGUGCUGCUGAAUAUGGAAGAUCUGCAAUCUUUCUCAUGGAGCCUAGAGUCUAAUGUGACUCUUUGAAAGAACAUUCCUUCGGCUGCUGGCAAAGAUACCUUCCCCCCUACCCUUUUCUCCUGAGCUGAGCUGUGUGGUGAUUCAUUAUAGAUAACCCCUCCUGAUUAAUUUUGUUUUGACUUUAACUUUGACAUUAAAAAAAGUAAGAAAAAAACAUAAGAGGUAAAAUUCUCCCCUCUAGCAUUCACCGUGCGACUAUUUUUAGCCAGCUUUGGUGUUUGAUGCAGAAAAGGGAAAAAUCUAAAUUUAGAAAGAAAUUAAAUUGUUGAUUGUCAUCAAAAGUCCCGGCUGUCAGAUUAGAAAGUCAUUGUGUUAGACCUUUUGUGAUAAAUAAUAAAUCAGCGAUUUCCUUGAAUCCCUUAUUU
ensembl:lncRNA